rnacentral:rRNA from 1 species
UACGUAGGUGGCGAGCGUUGUCCGGAUUUACUGGGCGUAAAGAGCGCGCAGGCGGUCGUGCAAGUCGCGUGUGAAAGCCCCCGGCUCAACUGGGGAGGGUCACGCGAUACUGCUCGACUGGAAGGCAGGAGAGGGAAGUGGAAUUCCCGGUGUAGUGGUGAAAUGCGUAGAUAUCGGGAGGAACACCAGUGGCGAAGGCGACUACCUGGCCUGUUUCUUGACGCUGAGGCGCGAAAGCUAGGGGAGCAAACGGG